GGUUACAUCGGUUACGUUUUGCUCAGGUACAUACUUAUGAUAUUAUGUAGUAUAUCACUAUACUAGGGUAUUAGUAUUUAAAAAUGCAAUGUACGAUAUGUACAAUUAAAAACGUAUUUGUUUACUUUUGUUGUAAGUGCCAAUUUUAAGAAAUGGAAAUAAAUAAUGAACAAAUUUAAUAUAGAAACCCGACGGAUAUUGCCACACAUUUCUGUGAUUCUGGUGGUUUUCUGGGUGCAUACAUUGUAAUGCCCAUGACCUCGGAGCUCCACGAGAGGGAGACAGUGUCGUGUGUGUUGGUCUGUUCAUGCGUCUUCCCACGAGGCAUCACAAGACGUUAUGAUGUACAGUAAAUGUGCCUGUUGUGCACUACACGAUUACGCAUCCAUAAAACAAGCAUUGGGAUUGGUCGUGAAUUUAUUAAAAUAUAAUUAAUCAAUUUUAAUAAUAAUUAGUCCGCCUUUUUCGAAAUGACAAAAUCCAGAAAUUAGCAAGUUCCAAAACUCAUCCGCAACUUUCAGUUCAUCUACGGUGCUCGGUUGAUUUCGGCAAUCUGGUGCUGCUCUUCAAAAUAAAAGCUAAAGACCUUUUAAAGGAAAUCCUGGCCUACAAAUGUCUUUCAAUAAACCAUUUUAAAUGGUUUAUGUUGCAUGAUUUUCUCCUUACACACGUGUCACAGUGAGUGCUGUUAUAGAAUGUAAUGAGCAAACCUAUGAAUAAAUUAAUAUUAUGUUAUUGUGCAGAUGUUUAAGGCAGUUCGCCAUUGAAUAUGGCAGCUCCACCUUUUAUCUUGGACUUAAAACAUGCUUCUUAUGCUUGACCUGCUUCAGGGGUGCCUGUGAUUCCAUGACUGUAGUUGUAGUUCUAACAUGGUCUUAGAGAACUGGUCAUCCUUGAGCCUGCCAAUUUCUCAUCUGGUCCUCCAGCUCAUAAGAUUCACAGGAAUUGAAGAUUACCAGCAGCCAUCAGAAGCCAGCUGAUUAUAGCCCAUAUGUAUGUGACAGAUUCCAAUGGGAUGAGCAAGCAGGUGUGACAGGCCUCUGGCUGAGCUACAGCAGCGAUCUGGUCAGCCAGCAAAUGGGCUCCUCGGUCCGUAACAAGCGGCAGACAGUGCACACAUGCUGGUGACCUCAUCGGACCACCGGUCAUUCUUGGCCAUACGGAUCUCCUGUCCCAGUUUGUCAGCAUCAACUUAAACCUUGCCUGAAGCAAAAGUUCCAGUGAGUGUUUGAAAGCAUUGCCAAAGCAGGAAACCCAACCCUUCUGAGCCAGAUCUGCACAGAGCUCUACAUCAGAGGGAGGGCCUGGAGAGGUCAACAAUGAACAUGAGGUCAGCCAGACCGAAACAGCAUCCAGGAAAACAAACAAGCAGCAGGCAGACUUUAAAGGCAGAACAGCGAUGACAAAGGGAGUCGCUGGCAUCGGGAAAACUGUCGCAAAGUGUUUUCUCAUCACACACACAGAUAUUCAGAUAUUCAUCAUGAACUAACCACAGUUUACGGACGGUGACCUGGAUCUAGUUAAUGAAACAGAUCCUUGAGCAGCAGCACAGGGUUUCUGUGCCAGUGUAAACUGUGUGGGGCCAUGGCAGAGGUCCAUUCAUCUCACCUCUCAGCCCCCAGCUCAUAUAAAGCUACAGUAUGAGUCUCCACAUGCUGCUGUUUCUGGAUCUAAAUGUUCAGGUUCACAGUGUGAACAGUAACAGCCAAUGUUUAGUGCCCAUGAAGGGUCCUGCACUGGUUGAAAUGGUCAAAAACCAGCAGAGCAUUUUCAGUCUGACUCACUAAUAAGAAGCAGCUGCUUUUGACUACACAACUUUGUUUACGGUCGAAAUUAUUUUGAUAUAAUUAACAUUGCAGGGAAGUUAGAUUGGCUUUUGUUUUGGUUAGUAAAUUGUUCGAAACAAACACAAUGAUGGAAACAGGCAGAAGCUCCUGAACUGGAGUCAGAUAAAAAGAAUGGAGCCGUCAGGCUGUGAAGUGAAGCUGUAACCAGACACCUCACUCAGCUGCACUCACAUAUUCAGUAGCUAGGUGAGUCGGCUGCUCUGAAGUCACAUGUGACAGAGAAGUAUGAAAAUGACACAAAACAGAUGAUUUAGCAGAACCACAAAGGAGCCAAGUGAUGCUCUGUUACCAUGUUAUUAAGAUAAGGCAUAUUAUAUUAAUGUAUGAAGCAGCCUGCUUUGUUUCAUCACUGUUGUAAUAAACUAACCCACAGAACUCACUGAAAACAAAUUAAGACUAUAAGUAACAAGAAACGGUGGGUUCAGUGUUUUUCAGAUUUUCGUACUGUCGCUUUAAAAUUAUUCUAUUUUGACCCAAACUAUUAUACAUACUAAAACGACUUUAAAAAUCACAGUGCACUUAAGAACAAAACUAUUCUAUGUGCAUAUAAUCUGAAGAAAUAACACUAAGUUAUUUUAAAUAAACUAUUUAUUUUUGAUCAUUGUAAUGUCCGAAACCACGUGAACACCGCAGCAGCGGCGACAAAACGACAUCAAAACAUGAUGGUCGGCAGUCUCAAAACUAUGGUAUAUUUGCUCUACGAUGUCGUAGGUCGCACAGACCUCUAGACUAGCGUAUAAAUACAAUAAUUAUCGUAAAUCUGGAAACACUGAAAGUAGCUUUGGCAAACAUUUGAUGCCCUGUGGACGUUAAGCUGCAGUUCGUUAAGAGUCCACCAGAUGCUGACAUUGUUGGAUCAUUUUCAAAACAUCUACGUGAAAUUGUCCAAGCCUGGCUUUGGACAGGUUAAAGCCAAGGACUCAGGGUUCUGGUAUAGUCUUAGUGUUGUACCCCUUCAUAUGCUGAUAUUUGUGUGAAUAAUGAAGGGGACCUUUACCCAGCCACAGGUGGUUGAUUACAUACAGAAAGAUGUAGGAUUAACUGUGCAGAAUAUGUCUGAAACCUUAUAUGAAAUACAAAGCUUUAAAAAACUCCAAAUUAUUGGGGCCAUUUUAUGUUGUCAGCAAUAUU